AUGAAACUGUUGUCACAAGACCACAAAAAGUACAUCAUAUCAGAAACCAGUCUUGGCGGUCUAACCCAGAUGCAUGAAGUGACUCUACGGCGCAUAAUGUUGGUUAGACUAGCCAAGAGCAUAGAUAUGGACACGCAAUCCAUUACCAUCGGUAAAACACCAAUUCCUAUAACAAAAGAGGACGUGCAAGGUAUAUUUGGCAUUCCGAUAGAAGGGGAGGAUAUAGAGUCACAUCUGGAAAUGCAAACCGAUACAGAAUUGUUUACUGCCUAUGCAAACUAUGGGCAAAUUUUGAUUUCUGACCUUGAAACGGCGAUCCGAGCUUCCAAAGCCCCAGACGGCGAUUUCCUGAGACGGUUCAUUCUGUACACAAUUGGUACUGUUCUAGCACCAACAUCACAACAUUAUGUGGACUCGAAAUUUCUCAACCUUGUUACAGAUCUUGAAAACCUUCGGAAAUUUAACUGGGGAUGUUUCACACUUAAUCACUUCUUCAAGUCCAUUCACAAGUUUAGAAAUCGAGAUCACGUAAAUCUACAAGGAAAUCUAAUUCUUCUCCAGUAUUGGUACUGGGAGCACGUGCGUAGUGGCAGAUUAAUGUAUGCUUCGAGACCCCCUCCAUUGAUCGCACGA
rnacentral:rRNA from 1 species